rnacentral:rRNA from 1 species
CCUACGGGAGGCAGCAGUGGGGAAUAUUGCACAAUGGGGGAAACCCUGAUGCAGCGACGCCGCGUGAGUGAAGAAGUAAUUCGUUAUGUAAAGCUCCUUCAGCCGGGAAGCAAAUGACGGUACUUGAGCAAGAAGCCCCGGCUAACUACGUGCCAGCAGCCGCGGCAAUACGUGGGGGGCAAGCGUUAUCCGGAUUUACUGGGCGUAAAGGGAGAGUAGACGGCUGUGCAAGUCUGGAGGGAAAGGCGGGGGCCCAACCCCCGGACUGCUCUGGAAACUGGACGGCUGGAGUGCAGGAGAGGUAAGUGGAAUUCGUAGUGUAGCGGUGAAAUGCGUAGAUAUUAGGCGGAAAACCAGUGGCGAAGGCAGCUUACUGGACUGUAACUGACGUUGAGGCUCGAAAGCGUGGGGAGCAAACAGGAUUAGAUACCCGUGUAGUC